rnacentral:rRNA from 1 species
AUUGAACGCUGGCGGCAGGCUUAACACAUGCAAGUCGAGCGGAGUGAUGGUGCUUGCACUAUCACUUAGCGGCGGACGGGUGAGUAAUGAUUAGGAAUCUGCCUAUUAGUGGGGGACAACAUCUCGAAAGGGAUGCUAAUACCGCAUACGUCCUACGGGAGAAAGCAGGGGAUCACUUGUGACCUUGCGCUAAUAGAUGAGCCUAAGUCGGAUUAGCUAGUUGGUGGGGUAAAGGCCUACCAAGGCGACGAUCUGUAGCGGGUCUGAGAGGAUGAUCCGCCACACUGGGACUGAGACACGGCCCAGACUCCUACGGGAGGCAGCAGUGGGGAAUAUUGGACAAUGGGGGGAACCCUGAUCCAGCCAUGCCGCGUGUGUGAAGAAGGCCUUAUGGUUGUAAAGCACUUUAAGCGAGGAGGAGGCUCUUUUGGUUAAUACCCAAGAUGAGUGGACGUUACUCGCAGAAUAAGCACCGGCUAACUCUGUGCCAGCCGCCGCGGUAAAAC